AACAUAUUCAUUGUAUCAAAUGGUAGCCUACGGUGGCAUACACAUUAAUAGGCUACUUGAUGGCCAACAAAUGCAAAUGUAUAAUUCUCCACAUGUCAGUUUCAUUGCGGACAUUUCCCCAUAACAUAAGCACGCUAGGGUGUUCCAUAACUUUCAUUUCAAAUUUCCACUCGCGCAGCCCCGGAGAACCAAUAACUGAGCAUGCGUAAAACACUUCGCUUGAUAACGUCCAUAAGCAAAGUCGACAUUAGAAUGGAGUUCAAACUACCGCUGGACAAAUUAUAUAAUGCGCUCUAGUGUACCCAAAGUCAAUUUCCAGUGCGUUGUCACCGUUAUUUCUUGACGCGCAUCAGUUCUAGCAUGUUGGGAAACGGAUUAGAAAACAGCAUGUGUCACCAUAACGUCGAGUUAAAUAGCCAACCGACAAAUCGUAAAAAGUUGUCAUAAUGUGCGCGCGUGCUGCUCCAUCUUGUACUUUCCUUCCCCACCACUCACUCACCAAACAGCCUGGUCACUGCCCGAUAGUCACCAGCAGCAGGUCACAGUGAUAUAUUUCUUAAAAAGAGAAAUGCCAUGGCGGCCGCGGUGCAGCAAGUAGCCCAACAACCCACCCACAGCAUCGUGUUCAAAGUAGCCCAAUACCCGGUAAAACUGCGGACAUGGAAACCCUGACACCCACACCCAGGUUCCUCUGGAGGCGUUUCGAAAGCCCGGCCCCACCAGGAUCCCUAAACCCAAAGGCUACGGCAUGCCCAGAGGGACAAACAGCACUAUUAACACUGGACAGAGCAAAGGACAGCUGCCGGCCACCGUGCACUCUGGGAGAAACACUGUGAAUGGUCAGACUGCGUCCAACAGGAGAGAUGGUCCAACCACAUUCGUUCAGAACAUUGCAGAAAUGUAAUAACUAGAGCUGUGACACAAUUCCAUAUUUUACUGACUGAGUAAAUAACAAAUUGCAGGUGCUAUAAUAUUGAGACCAACUGCUUGCACUAGUGCUGUGUAAAUCAAUAAAGAAUUGAUUUAUCUGCCAUUUUGUGCAAUCGUUUGUCUAUCUCUCAAUUUUUUGGUCUAUUGA
rnacentral:lncRNA from 1 species